CAAGUCGAACGGCAGCACGGGAGCAAUCCUGGUGGCGAGUGGCGAACGGGUGAGUAAUAUAUCGGAACGUGCCCAGUCGUGGGGGAUAACGCAGCGAAAGCUGUGCUAAUACCGCAUACGAUCUAUGGAUGAAAGCGGGGGACCGUAAGGCCUCGCGCGAUUGGAGCGGCCGAUAUCAGAUUAGCUAGUUGGUGGGGUAAAAGCCCACCAAGGCGACGAUCUGUAGCUGGUCUGAGAGGACGACCAGCCACACUGGAACUGAGACACGGUCCAGACUCCUACGGGAGGCAGCAGUGGGGAAUUUUGGACAAUGGGCGCAAGCCUGAUCCAGCAAUGCCGCGUGCAGGAUGAAGGCCUUCGGGUUGUAAACUGCUUUUGUACGGAACGAAACGGUUCGCUUUAAUACAGUGGGCUAAUGACGGUACCGUAAGAAUAAGCACCGGCUAACUACGUGCCAGCAGCCGCGGUAAUACGUAGGGUGCGAGCGUUAAUCGGAAUUACUGGGCGUAAAGCGUGCGCAGGCGGUGAUGUAAGACAGAUGUGAAAUCCCCGGGCUCAACCUGGGACCUGCAUUUGUGACUGCAUCGCUAGAGUACGGUAGAGGGGGAUGGAAUUCCGCGUGUAGCAGUGAAAUGCGUAGAUAUGCGGAGGAACACCGAUGGCGAAGGCAAUCCCCUGGACCUGUACUGACGCUCAUGCACGAAAGCGUGGGAGCAGACAGGAUUAGAUACCCUGGUAGUCCACGCCCUAAACGAUGUCAACUGGUUGUUGGGUCUUCACUGACUCAGUAACGAAGCUAACGCGUGAAGUUGACCGCCUGGGAGUACGGCCGCAAGGCUGAAACUCAAAGGAAUUGACGG
rnacentral:rRNA from 1 species